AAAUUGACGGGGACCCGCACAAGCGGUGGAUGAUGUGGAUUAAUUCGAUGCAGCGCGAAGAACCUUACCUACCCUUGACAUGUCCGGAACUUGCCAGAGAUGGCUUGGUGCCCGAAAGGGAAUCGGAACACAGGUGCUGCAUGGCUGUCGUCAGCUCGUGUCGUGAGAUGUUGGGUUAAGUCCCGCAACGAGCGCAACCCUUAUCAUUAGUUGCUACGCAAGGGCACUCUAAUGAGACUGCCGGUGACAAACCGGAGGAAGGUGGGGAUGACGUCAAGUCCUCAUGGCCCUUAUGGGUAGGGCUUCACACGUCAUACAAUGGUCGGUACAGAGGGUUGCCAACCCGCGAGGGGGAGCUAAUCCCACAAAGCCGAUCGUAGUCCGGAUCGCAGUCUGCAACUCGACUGCGUGAAGUCGGAAUCGCUAGUAAUCGUGGAUCAGCAUGUCACGGUGAAUACGUUCCCGGGUCUU
rnacentral:rRNA from 1 species